rnacentral:lncRNA from 1 species
CACUCAGGAAAUGUUCACAGACCAGCAUUAUAUUCCGAGCACUGUACUGGACCCAACUUUGUUCCCAUCCCUUGUAAGCACGUCCUUACCCUGGCUCCUCUGUCCAGCAACUCCACGCUUUGACCAGAACCUGCUAUUAGUUAUGUAGUGAGGUUCUGAGACGCACACGUGCAGAUCCUUAGUAUUUGUUAAACGUGAAGUAAGCGGAAGCCCAGGCGCUGUGCUAGGCUGACAAGUUUAAGAAUAGACACACUCAGUGUCUUGCAGU